rfam:Sus scrofa isolate TJ Tabasco breed Duroc chromosome 12, whole genome shotgun sequence.
UCCCCGGUGGUCUAAUGGUUAGAACUCAGUGCUUACACCACUGUGGCCCCAGGUUCAAACCCUGGUCUGGGAA